rnacentral:rRNA from 1 species
CACCAGCCCCUCGAGUGGUGGGGAUGAUUAUUUGGCCUAAAGCGUCCGUAGCCGGCCGGGUAAGUUUCCCGUUAAAUCCAGCGUCUCAAGCGUUGGACUGCGGGAAAUACUGCCUGGCUAGAGAGUGGGAGAGGUCAGCGGUAUUCUGGGGGUAGGGGCGAAAUCCUUUGAUCCCCGGAGGACCACCAGUGGCGAAGGCUGCUGACUAGAACACGUCUGACGGUCAGGGACGAAAGCUGGGGUAGCGAACCGGAUUAGAUACCCGGGUAGUCCCAGCCAUAAACGAUGCAUGCUAGGUGUUGGGUUUGCCACGAGCCACCCCAGUGCCGCGGGGAAGCCGUUAAGCAUGCCGCCUGGGAAGUACGAUCGCAAGAUUGAAACUUAAAGGAAUUGGCGGGGAGCACCACCAGGCGUGAAGCCUGCGGUUU